rnacentral:rRNA from 1 species
CCCUACGGGGCGCAGCAGGCGCGAAAACUUUACAAUGCGGGAAACCGUGAUAAGGGAACUCCGAGUGCCCGUUAAAUCGGGCUGUCCAUCUGUGUAAAUAACAGGUGAAGAAAGGGCCGGGCAAGACCGGUGCCAGCCGCCGCGGUAAUACCGGCGGCUCGAGUGGUGGCCACUAUUACUGGGCUUAAAGCGUUCGUAGCUGGUUUGUUAAGUCUCUGGGGAAAUCUUCCGGCUUAACCGGAAGGCGUCUCAGGGAUACUGGCAGACUAGGGACCGGAAGNGGUGAGGGGUACUCCAGGGGUAGGAGUGAAAUCCUGUAAUCC